GGCCGGGUGGCCUAAUGGUAAGGCGUCAGAUUUCGGCGAGGUAAAUCCUCUCAGUCUCUGAAAACUGCGGGUUCGAGUCCCGUCUCGGUCG
rnacentral:tRNA from 1 species